rnacentral:tRNA from 1 species
UGUGAAAUGGCAGAACCAAUGCGUAAACUUUAAGCGUUUAUUAUGACUAUUUUGGUCUUUCACAA